rnacentral:lncRNA from 1 species
AUGCCAACUGAGCAUUGGACUACCACCGCCUGCCCCUGGCUCAGCGCCCGGUGCCAACAGAACACCUUUCAGGAUCCACAGCAACGCAGACAACGGAACUCACACAGACUUCGGUUCUCAAGAGGCCAUCAAAACAUAACUGCUGUGGAGGCAAUACCUUUCCUUCCCCUCACUAUACUCACUGAAUGUUCUGGAUCAGUGCGUCUCACAUCUUUGGAUCUUAUAAGCUACUUGGAAAAGUGAGUACACCAACAGAUUUGCCGACACAUGUUACCAAGCGAGAACGUUCAAAAAUUAUAAUCAAAUAUAGUCAUAAAAGAUAUUGUAACACGAAAAAAGUGGGAACAGUGUAAUAUCAGGAUAAAUAAUAAGCCUACCAUAAUCAAGUUAAACAUACAGCCUCUCUUUUUAUAUAUGGCUAUAGUUUGUUUAAUUGCAUAUCUUUGUUUAUUAUAAAUGGAAAAAAUUUAUUGUAGUUAACAUAAUCACUUUCUUUGCCUAAACCUUCACUUGCAGUUAUAAUUAUGGCAUAGGCACAGAAAUCCUCCAAAUUUGGUAAAUGCUACCUGAAUAGAAAAAAAAGGCCAGGCGCGGUGGCUCAUGCCUAUAAUCACAGCAAUCUGGAAAGACCUCGAACACCUGAGGUCGGGAGUUCGAGACUGGCCUGACCAACAUGGAUAAACUCCAUCUCUACUAAAAGUAUAAAAUUAGCUGGGCGUGGUGGCGCAUGCCUGUAAUCCCAGCUACUCAGGAGGCUGAGGCAGGAGAAUUGCUUGAACUCCGGAGGUGGAGGUUGCAGUGAGCCAAGAUUGCACCAUUGCAUUCUAGCCUGGGCAACAAGAGGCCAUCUCAAAAAUAAAAAUAAAAAUAAAAGUGCCACUCUUGAUUAUAACUAAGUUUUGGCAUAUUUAUGUUUCUGUGGCUUUAUUUUUAUUUACUAAGUUGAGUUCAUUUUGAUAGUCUCUUUUAGCAGAAAUUUAUGUACCCAUAUUUUAGAAUUAAAAAAUAAGAUCUAUUUUCCUAUACAAGUAUUUUUUUGUUUUAGCUAAUGAAAAUUCUGCCAAUUAGAUACUAGAAAAAUAUCUGUCAGUAGUUAAUGCUAAUAGAGACACCAGAGCAUUUGCUCCACUAUUAAUCUAUGGAUAAUGGAAGGCCCAUUUCUUAAGUACACACAGAAGAAAGAAUAGAAAAAAUACUGGCUAUGACACCAAAUGAAUUGCCUUCCUCCCACACUACCGUGCCCUUGUAACCUAGGGCAUGUAGAGCAGGCUGGCAGCCAUCGCAUUACAGAUUUAAAAGUGAUGGAAUCUCUCGGUCCUGUAGCAGGUUGCCUGAUGGAUUGGUGGGUAAUGUACUUGAAGAGUGCAUUACUGAGCUCUGGACUAAUGGCUACCUCUUGCCUAUGGCCUUUAUGGUAGAUCAUUCAUUGUGCUGCCUCAUCAGCUUCCUGCCAGUCUGUAUCUGGCAUGAGUACUGCCUGUUCCAAAGCUGAUUAAUACCCUGGGAAUGAGUCCCACUGCAGGUCUCAGAGUGGAUUACACAAGGAAUGUUCUGGUGCUUGGGGGCAACAUAACUUUUCUUUCAUGAAUAAAACAGAAAAAAAUCUUUCUAUAUUGUCAAAGUAGAGGUCUGCACAAAUUAUAAAUUUUCUAAAUUGCUGUUGAUUACAGUCAGCAUGUUAAAGGAAUGAUAACAGACAUUAAAUACUAGACUCUUUGAUGCUUUAAGCAGCACAAGGUUUCUUCAGAUUCAGUUUCCUGAAAUUGUGUGUGUGAAAUAAGAGCCAAGAAACAAAAGCAAAUAACAGAAGACUACAUGUAACUCAGGAUUAAGUGCAGACUGUAACUCUAGGAGAAGUUGGGGGAGAAGGAAGUUGACAGUGACCAGAGAUAUAGGAACCAUGGAGGAAAUGCAGGUUAAGCUGACUCUUAAAGGCUAGAAUUGGGCACGCAAUGGAGAGGGUGGGUAUGAUAACUCAGAAAAUAGCAUGAGCAAAAGCAUAAAAGUAUUAAAGAGUAUGAUGUAUUAAUGGGCUAGAUAGAAGAAAAGUCUGACUAGAGCAGAGAAUGUGGGUUUGGAAGUAGACGUAGUAAAAAAUCAAGCACAGGCUGACAGGGCUUCUGAUAGUGGGAUAGACUAGCUCACCUAAAAGACAACCUGCUAUAAUGACCUAGAAAUGGUACAUAUAACAUAGAAUAUAUUUCCUUUGGAAUAUAUGGCUGACCUUCUAGAAAAAUGAAAAAAAUAUAUAUACAGGGGUCAGAAAUGACCUAGAAACUUAUAAUCAGAGUGAUAAACACGUGUACCAAGUCUGUGGCUCACCCGAGAUGUUGGACCUGAUAAGAGACAGAGAUUAUUAGUCUUGGAAAUCUGGAAGCUUGAUUUAACACCCAUGAGUGAACAGAGAAUGAGACCUUGAGCUCACAUAGGCCAAGAACUGAGCUACCACUUGCUUUUCACUCCCUCCUUAUAAAACCAGCACCUUUAAAUCCUUGACUACACAGGGAAAUGACAAGGAAACUUGUCAGUCUUUCAGUGUUUAAAAAAGAUGUUUUUUUUUUAAAUUGAGAGUAAUAAUGAUCAGCUAUAUAUGAGUUUGGGGAACAUAUUAUUUAUAGGACCUGCAUGGUUUGGGUAAUUCUGUAGGCCAAAAAAUAACAUAAGAAGUUGUCAUGGAACAUUAAAACCCCUUGAAAGAACUAAUACAAAAUUCUUUGGAAGGACAUUUUACAGAUAAAACCCAUUGAGGAUUAGCUCUUUAGUCAAUAUUUUAUAACACUAAAAGAAACAAUCCAUAAUAAAUGGCAAUUACUAAACAUAAUAGCAGAAUUAAGCUCCUCAAACAGCCAAUAAAAGUUAUCUAGAGAUAUAUUAGAACAAAUAGAGAGAGCUAAUAGAAAGAGAAUGACAAUUUUUCAGAACAGAUGAAAGCUGUGAGUCUUCAGAUUCAGGUUACAUAACAAAACCUGAGUGUAAUAACCUACUACAAGAUACCUUAUAGUGAAACUUCAGAAUCGCAAAGACAAAAAGAAAACUUUUUAAGUGACCAGAGAAUUUAAAGAGACAUUAGUGAAAAAGGAAUAAUAAGAUUUACAGCAGAUUUCUCAAUAGCAACAACAGAAGUGAGAGGGCAAUGGAGUAGUGGCUCCAUUGAGGAAAUUUGUUUUCCAAUGAGGAAAAGAAUUAAAACUGUCAACCUGAGAUUCUAUACUAAAUUAUUCAAGUGGGAGGAUUUUAAACAUUGUAUUUCCAGACAAAACUGAGAGUUUUAUGUACUUUCACUGGAAAAAAAAUAAUGUUCUUCAGAAAAAGAACUCAGAAGCAAGGCAGAUAAGGGAAGGAGCAAUGCUGAGCAAAGAAAAUGACAAACAUAUGGGUAAAUCUAAAUAAUUUUUAACUAUAUGAGACAAUAAUAAGAAGAUGGAAUCUUGCUCUGUUGCCUAGGCAGGUGUGCAGUGGAGUGAUCUCAGCUCACUACAACCGCCUCUUUGGUUCAAGCUAUUCUCCUACCUCAGCCUCCUGAGUAGCUGGGAUUACAGAUGCACACCACCAUGCCCGGCUAAUUUUUGAACUUUUAGUAGAGACAGGUUUCGCCAUGUUGGCCAGGCUGGUCUCAAACUCCUGACCUCAAGUGAUCCACCUACCUUGGCCUCCCAAAGUGCUGGGAUUACAGGCAUUAGCCACCAUGCCUGGCCAACAGAAAAGCAUUUUUAAAAACACUUUAGCAUAAUUAUUAUAAUAUAAUAGCUAUAUUAUAUUAUAUAUUAGUAUAAUAGCUAUAUUAUACUUUAGGAAUGCAGUGGCAUAUACCAUGUUCACAAAUGGAAAUGCUUAAUAUUGUAAAGAUUUAAUUUCUUCCAAAAUUAACCAAUAAAUUCAAUGAAAUUUACAUAAAAACCCAUGGAAGUUGACAGAUUUGCAGUAGAUUAUAAUAUCUGAUAGGAAUAGUGGUCUCCCAUACAUUUUCCAUUUCAUUGUUUCCAGGACUAUUCUUGCAUGUUUGUUUUUGCAUAUGAAAUUUAGUAUCAACUUAUCUAAUUCCAUAAAAUUGCUUGCUGAUAUCUUACUGGGAUUACAUUUAAUUUAUAAAUUGACCUAGGGAGAAAUGGCAUUUCUGUAAUGCUGAGUUGCCCUAUCCAAGAAUAAGUGAUAUAUUUCCAUUUGUUCUACUUUUUCCCAAAAGUCUCCUUUGGAGUCUUUGGGGGAGUGUUUUAACAUUUUUUUCUAUGAAGUUUUGCACAUUUAUUGUUAAACUUACUUACAAGCAUUUAGUAUUCUUUAUUGAUACUGUAAAUGAGGCUUUCUCUACUAUUAUGUCUUCUGUUUAUUAUUUGUAUAUAUAAGGGCUAUUAAUUUUCUCUGCUAACUUUAAAUCUUGCUACCUCACUGAACUCUUUUAUUGUUUGAUUUAGUUUUAUUAUUUAUUUUUUCCGAGAUUACCCAGGUAUAUACUAUCAUAUUAUUUGCAUAUAGAAAUAGUCUUACUUCUUUAUUUAUUCCUAUGCCUCUAAUUGACUUUUCUUGUCUAACUGCAUUAGCUAAUACCUCUAGUACAAUGUUUAAUAUAAUAAAGGUAGUGGUCUUCUUACUUUGUUCUCAUCUUAGUGAAAAUGUCUCUAGUAUUUUCCCAUCAUAAAAUAAUGACUUUUAGAUUAGGUAUAUAAGUUUUAUCAUGGUUACAAUAUAUUCUAUAUUCAAGAAUAUAUUCUCUGUAUUCUUGAGUGUUUUUCUAAUGAAUCAACGUUGAAUUUUGUCAAAGCUUCCUCAAUCUAUGGAGGUAAUCAUAUGAUCUUUUACUUGCAAAUAUGGCAUAUGGUAUUAAUGGAUUUCUUUUUAUUGAAUCAGCCUUGCAUUUCUGUAAUAAAUCCCACUUGAUCAUGGGAGUAUUCUUUUCUUAAUGUGGUUAAUGUGGUGUUAGUUUUGGUUUGCUAAUGUAUAGUUUCAAAUUUUUGCAUCAGUAUUCAUUGGAUAUGGACACUGGACCACUGUUCUCUCUUUUUGUACUACACAGUUUAAGCAUCUCUAAUUCAAAAGUCCAGAAUCUGAAAUGCUCCAAAGUCUUGA